GAUGAACGCUGGCGGCGUGCUUAACACAUGCAAGUCGAACGGUGAAGCCAAGCUUGCUUGGUGGAUCAGUGGCGAACGGGUGAGUAACACGUGAGCAACCUGCCCUGGACUCUGGGAUAAGCGCUGGAAACGGUGUCUAAUACUGGAUAUGAGCUCCUCCCGCAGGGGGGUUGGUGGAAAGUUUUUCGGUUUGGGAUGGAGUCGCGGCCUAUCAGCUUGUUGGUGAGGUAAUGGCUCACCAAGGCGUCGACGGGUAGCCGGCCUGAGAGGGUGACCGGCCACACUGGGACUGAGACACGGCCCAGACUCCUACGGGAGGCAGCAGUGGGGAAUAUUGCACAAUGGGCGCAAGCCUGAUGCAGCAACGCCGCGUGCGGGAUGACGGCCUUCGGGUUGUAAACCGCUUUUAGUAAGGAAGAAGGGGCUUCGGCCUUGACGGUACUUGCAGAAAAAGGACCGGCUAACUACGUGCCAGCCGCCGCAGUAA
rnacentral:rRNA from 1 species